AUUGAACGCUGGCGGCAGGCCUAACACAUGCAAGUCGAACGGUAACAGGAAGCAGCUUGCUGCUUUGCUGACGAGUGGCGGACGGGUGAGUAAUGUCUGGGAAACUGCCUGAUGGAGGGGGAUAACUACUGGAAACGGUAGCUAAUACCGCAUAACGUCGCAAGACCAAAGAGGGGGACCUUCGGGCCUCUUGCCAUCGGAUGUGCCCAGAUGGGAUUAGCUAGUAGGUGGGGUAAAGGCUCACCUAGGCGACGAUCCCUAGCUGGUCUGAGAGGAUGACCAGCCACACUGGAACUGAGACACGGUCCAGACUCCUACGGGAGGCAGCAGUGGGGAAUAUUGCACAAUGGGCGCAAGCCUGAUGCAGCCAUGCCGCGUGUAUGAAGAAGGCCUUCGGGUUGUAAAGUACUUUCAGCGGGGAGGAAGGGAGUAAAGUUAAUACCCUUGCUCAUUGACGUUACCCGCAGAAGAAGCACCGGCUAACUCCGUG
rnacentral:rRNA from 1 species